AUUGAACGCUGGCGGCAUGCUUUACACAUGCAAGUCGAGCGGCAGCGCGGGGGCAACCCUGGCGGCGAGCGGCGAACGGGUGAGUAACGCAUCGGAACGUAUCCUGUAGUGGGGAAUAACUCAUCGAAAGGUGAACUAAUACCGCAUAAGCUCUGAGGAGGAAAGCGGGGGACCGAAAGGCCUCGCGCUGCAGGAGCGGCCGAUGUCCGAUUAGCUAGUUGGUGAGGUAAAGGCUCACCAAGGCGACGAUCGGUAGCUGGUCUGAGAGGAUGAUCAGCCACACUGGGACAGAGACACGGCCCAGACUCCUACGGGAGGCAGCAGUGGGGAAUUUUGGACAAUGGGGGAAACCCUGAUCCAGCCAUGCCGCGUGAGUGAAGAAGGCCUCGGGUUGUAAAGACUCUUUCGGUACGGAACGAAAUUAGCUUGGACUAAUACUCUGAGUAGAUGACGGUACCGUAAGAAGAAGCACCGGCUAACUACGUGCCAGCAGCCGCGGUAAUC
rnacentral:rRNA from 1 species